AUCCAGCUGACGAGUUCCAAAUAGGAUCAACUGCGCAUCCUGGAU
rnacentral:hammerhead_ribozyme from 1 species